CGUUGGCUUUGUUGGCGUUUGGCAGCUCAUCAUUAAAUAUCAACAUGGCAUCAAGUUUGGCGCUGCAGCAAUGAACCACGGGCCAGUCAAAUGCUCAUCGGCGGUUUCAUCAGUGGCAGAAACGCUGCGAGUGGGUGGUGUAGCUACGGAUUCCUGCAUCUCCCAAAUGAGGUGAAACUGUGCUUGACUGCGCAUCAGUCUGGGCAGCCGUGGCCCAAUGGGUAAGAUCAUCGCCUGCCACUGUGGAAGACCUAGGUUCAAGACCCCGACUGGACCAUCCGCCAACAUCCCCCGGCCUCACAGCUGUGGUGUCCUUGAGCAAGACACUGAUACCCCGAAAUGCUCCCCGGGCGCUUCAGCUGCCCCCUACUCCAGUGUGUUCCACUAACAUGUAUGCUUCACGGGUGAUGGCCUCUCCUCGGGGGUUUGUUCGCAGGAUCUGUUACAAAUUUAAUGUUUCAGUCGCACAGAUAACAAAAGUCUGCAGAAGCUAUCACAGCAGCUCCACAGAAUGGAAAGUAUCUGUGAGGGGAAAGAAGAGAUUAAAUCGACGAGGC